rnacentral:rRNA from 1 species
UACGUAGGUGGCAAGCGUUGUCCGGAUUUACUGGGCGUAAAGGGCGUGCAGGCGGUCUGUUAAGUUCAGGGUGAAAGCUCCCGGCUCAACUGGGAGAGGUCCUUGGAUACUGGCAGACUUGAGGGAGGUAGAGGAGAGUGGAAUUCCCGGUGUAGUGGUGAUAUGCGUAGAUAUCGGGAGGAACACCAGUGGCGAAGGCGGCAUCCUGGACCGGCAUUGACGCUGAGGCGCGAAAGCUAGGGGAGCAAACGGG